rnacentral:rRNA from 1 species
GACGAACGCUGGCGGCGUGCCUAAUACAUGCAAGUUGAGCGCUGAAGGUUGGUACUUGUACCAACUGGAUGAGCAGCGAACGGGUGAGUAACGCGUGGGGAAUCUGCCUUUGAGCGGGGGACAACAUUUGGAAACGAAUGCUAAUACCGCAUAAAAACUUUAAACACAAGUUUUAAGUUUGAAAGAUGCAAUUGCAUCACUCAAAGAUGAUCCCGCGUUGUAUUAGCUAGUUGGUGAGGUAAAGGCUCACCAAGGCGAUGAUACAUAGCCGACCUGAGAGGGUGGUCGGCCACAUUGGGACUUGGACACGGCCCAAACUCCUACGGGAGGCAGCAGUAGGGGAUCUUCGGCCAUGGACGAAAGUCUGACCGAGCAACGCCGCGUGAGUGAAGAAGGUUUUCGGGUCGUAAAACUCUGUUGGUAGGGAAGAACGUUGGUGAGAGUGGAAAGCUCAUCAAGUGACGGUAACUACCCAGAAAGGGACGGCUAACUACGUG